UUCUUUCUCUCUACAGAACGUUCUGUCUUUUCUUCUUUCUUUCUACUCAAAGAAAGAUUUUCUCUACAACUCACAUACUCUCACGCCGGCCACCACACAUUUUCUGCUGCAACUCACCUUCACUGUAUUGUUGCAUCAUUUGUUACAAACACUUCUCAAGAGUAAGUUUCUCAUUCUCAUUCUAUUUCUCAUAAAUACCUCUUACCACCAAAAUCUUUUGUUGUUC
rnacentral:lncRNA from 1 species